UCACGAUAAAGGCAAACCUGGUGAAAGCCGGGGACGCAAAACUAGAGGGGCUAAAGCGCAUUUUUGCUUUUGCCAGCCAGUUGCCGAA
rnacentral:ncRNA from 1 species